rnacentral:lncRNA from 1 species
CUCUCUGGCCUCAGCUCUCCCCUACUGUACCAUAGAAUCAGCCACCCAGGUAGGCCCUCCAGGCCUCCUGCACCCCACUCUAGUCCCUGGCCCACUUCAGUUCACUGCAAUUCCCAUGGGUUUCACGAAAUAAAUGAGAAGUUCGAUGCUCGCUCCGUGACAUACUGCAACAAGCCAGAUAUAGAGGCCUGGGAAUUGCAUAAAGAAAUGAACACAUUUAUUAUCUACUAUCUGGUUCCAGAGCCCAAAAUUAUUGAUGCUGCUUGUAGAUGGUUAAAUGAUUUUCCUAGUGCAGUUCUCAUCCUAGAGAUUGUUAAAGACAAAGCAGGACCUGAUAAAGAAAUCUACCCCCAUGUCAUCUGAAACUUAGACAAAUCUUAAAUGUAUUGGGCAUAUCCACUCUAGAGGAACAUGGCCUUGAGAAAGUGU